AAAGUGAAACUGCGAAUAGCUCAUUAAAUCAGCUACAACCUACUGUGUACACAGGUAUUCUAAAUGGAUAUCUGUGGUAAUUCUAGAGCUAAUACAUGCCCUGGUUAACUGGAACUUCGGUUCCAGUUGCACUUAUUAGACCAAAACCAACCGCCUUCGGGUGAUUGUGAGGUAACUCUGGAUAAUUAUUUACUAUCGUAUGCCCUAGUGGUGUCGAUAUACACAGUUGGUAACUGCCCUAUUAACUAUUUGGCAGGUUAAACUCCUGUCAAGGUAAUAAUGGGUAACGGGGGAUCAGGGUUCGAUCCCGGAGAGCGAGUCUGAGAAACAGCUAGCACAUCCAAGGAAGGCAGCAGGCGCGAAAAUUACCCACUACUUAUUUGAGUGAGGUAGUAAUCAUAAAUACUGAUGCAGAACUCAAUCGAGGCUCUGUAAUCAGAAUGAGACCACUUUAAAUCCUUUAACGAGGAACAAUUGGAGGGCAAGUCUGGUGCCAGCAGCCGCGGUAAUCCAGCUCC
rnacentral:rRNA from 2 species